rnacentral:rRNA from 1 species
GACGAACGCUGGCGGCGUGCUUAACACAUGCAAGUCGAACGGUAAGGCCCUUCGGGGUACACGAGUGGCGAACGGGUGAGUAACACGUGGGUGAUCUGCCCUGCACUUCGGGAUAAGCCGGGGAAACUGGGUCUAAUACCGGAUAGGACUCCGGACUGCAUGGUCUGGGGUGGAAAGCUUUUGCGGUGUGGGAUGGGCCCGCGGCCUAUCAGCUUGUUGGUGGGGUGAUGGCCUACCAAGGCGACGACGGGUAGCCGGCCUGAGGGGGUGACCGGCCACACUGGGACUGCGGUACGGCCCUGACUCCGACGGGAGGCAGCAGUGGGGAAUAUUGCACAAUGGGCGCAAGCCUGAUGCAGCGACGCCGCGUGAGGGAUGACGGCCUUCGGGUUGUAAACCUCUUUCAGCACCGACGAAGCGCAAGUGACGGUAGGUGCAGAAGAAGGACCGGCCAACUACGUGCCAGCAGCCGCCGCGG